UUUUUCCUCAUGCUUUUUUCCACGCUAAUACCCAUGGAUUGUGAGACCCAUCUCACCAUCUCUCCCCCUCCCCGUUGCUGCUGAUCGUGGUCGUCUUUUCUCUUGGCGGUCGCCGAUCUUGCUUGCUCCUCUGCAAUAAUCAACCAACCAUCUGAAUUCAUUCUGCAAUUUGGAGCUCCUCAGGCACAUACAUCAGGACAGAUGUCGGGGCAGGUACCUAAUCAAGCUGGAAGUCAGUUGCGCGGAUUGCCACAGCAAAAUGGAAGUUCUCUCCCUUCCCAGAUUCAAAAUCUAGAUGCACAUCGUAAUACACGGAAAAGUAUGCAACGCAAAAUCUAUGAAUAUAUUAUACAGCGACAGUCAUCUCCCCACGAUCUUCAACCGAAGAGGGUGGCAGAUAUUGUUAGGCGCUUGGAUGAUGUUUUAAAUUUUCUGUGUAUUGUGUUGUUUCGAUAAAUUCUCAAUCUUUAUUAAUAUUCUUAUUGUUUUUUUAUGGCCCAUCAUUACUCCGUUCAUUAAAAGCUAGUAUCAAAGCAAGAUAGAAUAUGGUGACUAUAAUGCUUGAUGUCAAGAAGUUCUCAGGAGACAACAACUUCAAUUUAUGGAAGAUGGUGUGUUCAUCAUUCUCUAGUUUACUCCUUUUAUCAAAUUGAAACAUUUACC
rnacentral:lncRNA from 1 species